rnacentral:lncRNA from 1 species
GCAUUCUCCGAAUGUCAGCAUUGAGAAACCUACAAAACACAGAAUGUUUAUCAAUCUCUUCUUGUAGUGUCUGCCUUUCUGGCACUUCCUUCCUCUGCUGAAUCAUCUCAGCACUGCCAGGGAAACAAUUUGAACCCUUUUGCCUUCUGAGUCUGCCUUGACUGCCUGAAUGAGACAUGGCUGGGGACUUUAAAACCACUGCAGUUACUGAGUCCACCACCCCUGCAAGUGAGACACAAGGCCAAAAGAACAUCGAGUUUAGGAUUCUGCUGUGUUUUGUUUUUAUUGCUUCAUAAUACUAAAGUUCCAUCUCAGAGAUGAAACAUUGUAUAAAGAGACCUAGGUUUGCUUUCACUGGUAAUUUGCUUUUCCUCCCCAACAAAACAGAUGGAAUUGUUGUUGUUGUUAUUUAAUCUUAGUACUUCUGGAUGAACCAUGACCAUUCUUUACUUCCUCUGGUCAAACUUAAGGUGGCUUUCAGAAAUUGGUUAAUAUGUCCUCAGAUUACCUCUGUGAUCUGAAAAGUAUCCUUGUUUUUCUAGUUGGAAAAAAUGAAGCAUGAAAGGCUUAGGCAAUCGCCUUAUCCUGUCAAGGAUGGAAGCAUGAGUGGUCACUGGGGAACUGACUUCCUCCUCAGUGUCUUGGAGGGAGCUCUUGCCUUCUAGUUGGAGGGCAGUAAACGGGUGCUAUCCAGGGGCAGCCAUCCCAACAAUGAGAGUUAGCCUCCCUCUCAAGGAGGGAGACCACAGCCCUGCAACUCCCCGCAGAGAUGCCUCUUCCCUGGCUGACAGUUAAAGCAAGUGACCUUCAGCGAAACCAUGGAAAGUCCAAGUGACUAAUUUCAUGAACCUCUGGUGUGUGAGGGGCGGAGGAGGAGGAGGAGGCUGCCUGGGCACAGGGCCAGCAUGAGCCAUCUCCAGUCCUUGCAGGGGGUUGAGGAGAAGAUGAGAGCAGAAGGGGUCAGAAGAAAACAGGCUCCUCUGUGUGGUUGGGGGAGAGAGUCUGACCAUGUGGACAGAUGGAAGCCCUGGGUUACGGAGGCGAAGCAUGUUAGCAAACCAGGAGCAUUUCCUGUCUGCAGACAGGCAGAGGGCCAAUUCUUCCAUGAGCUGGAAAUAGGAACCAGUGGGGGGCGGUCAGCACAACACUUUUCCUCUGUGGGUUUUACGUAGUGAAGUAAAGAAGCUUGUUAUGUCAGUGAUCCUGGGAGCUUGUUUAUGUGCUGUGUUUUCUUUUAUGUUUCCUCUUGUAAUACUUGAUGGUUCCCAAUCCACAGAGGCCACAUUGCAGUUACGUCCCAGACACACAUCAGGCGACAGCCAUUAUUCAGGCUGUAAUCAUUUUGCCCAGCAGCAUAGCUAGAAAUGUUUAGACCAUGAGUUAGCUUGUUGGGCCUUUGCUUCUGGAAUGUACACAUUCAAGGAGAGCAGGAGGGGCGGGGCAGGGACAGUUCUUUCUCUUUCCCUUGCUCUGAAGAAGUGACUAGGCUUCCAGUAAGCAUUCAUCACUGAGCAACUUAGUAGAAACAAAGCACUGUCCUUUGCAACCUGGAGAAUAACAGCUAAACAUUGGACCAGGGUGUUCUAGGUAGCCAGAGACUUUCCUCAUAUAUAUAUAUAUAUAUAUAUAUAUAUAUAUAUAUAUAUAUUUGAAUUGUUACAGCGCCCAUGAGGUGGGUAGUAUUGUUUAGAGGAAAAUAGGGCUCAGAGAAAUGUACAAGGUCUCAUCAUAGAAAACCUGACCCUGCUUUAAAGGACCAUUUCAAGGAAUGUGAUCAGCAAGAAGGCAGGGUGGAACUAAAUAUUUCUCAGCCCUGUCAGCAUUCCCAGGACCACUUCCUUUAUGGGAAUCUCAUCAUCAUCUGAUGCAUUCUCUUCACCCUUUCUGGCCCAGCUUGGAUACUAUCCUUUCUUGAAGUUUGGAAGGGAGCCCAAUGUAGAGCAUUUCUUUUUCCCACCUGAAUUCCAAAUGAAUUAAGAAACUUCGCUGUUCUUCAUUUUAAAAAAGGACUAAGGUGGAAGAUGGAGCUUGGCAAGUGAAGUCCCCAAUUAGGCAGACUUAUUUACCCAGUCAUAGGCAUCUAGGAGGGCCUGCUUGAUGAGACUUACCGCGUGGAAUAGCAGAGCACUGCUCCCUGCCAGCAGGCACUCCCUGGGAGAACGGGGAGGAUCAGGACCCAGCACACGUCUGGCACAGUGAAUCAGGAGCCAAGAGGCCGGAGUGUUACAGCUACUGGGGCUUCACAGGCUGCUGGCAGUAACCCUCAGAUGUGGAGAAGAGUCACUUCACCUAAUGCUUCCUCCAGGACAUCUUACCUGGCACCUUUAGGAUAGGUUAAGGUGCCCUUUCUGCUCCUCCAUGGCACUCUCUGCACGUUACUAUCUUGUCACAUCCUGAAUCAUGAGACAACUGAAACACAGGCCACUACCUCACUUGCUUUGGGUAAAAAAUUUGAGAGAAUGUCAAAAACCUCAGUAAUCAAGAUUAAUAAUAUUUUAAUGUAAUCCUUUAAAAAACCAAAAUUAAUCCUAAUAAAUUCAUGAUGAUCAAAAUACCAAAAUAUAAAAGAAAGGCAAGAUUCAAUAGGCAGAAUGUUACAAUAACUUGCCAGGAUGAUACAGUUAGGAAGAGGCAGGAAAUGUGAUAAUUAGAAUCACUUAAUAUAACUGCAGUGUCCUCCUUGGUUCCUCCACCUUGAGAGAGAUAGAUGGAGCAUUUCCCUUGCUUGCAUCCAAUCUGUGAGAUUCUGGCAGGCAGGCUGCUUGUCUUGAGGGCUUGUCAUUGAGAGCUGGUCACCUAGAAUGCCCCGACAUGUUUGAGCUGCAUUGUUAAACUACAUUGGUAUUCUCCCAGCAAAACUCCUCUCCUUCUUUUACCAAAUCAGCAUUCUGUGAACACAGUAUUUCCUUGCCUGGAAACAUUGCAAGUUUCUGCUACACCCACCAUGACUCUUCCUUGCUUUAUACAAAUUGGCUCUAAGGAAUAUUUCUGGUAAAUGUGUUCAUGUGUCAGGAGACUGAAACAAAUUUCACAUGAUACACUGAAGAAAAUGAUCAAAGGGUUUAUGGCUAGCCCCCACGGUCCCUCGCUUUAGUUGGAAGAAAAGAGAGAAUGAGUUUUAUACACCUAGAAUUCUUGCUGGCCAUGUGCUAUAUGAUAUUUAAGGAGCUUUCGGAUUACUUGCUGUCAAGAAAUAUAACUCAUAACUGUAAUGCAAGAUAUGACAGACUAAGAAGAAAUAAUGGAAAUAUUUUGGAUGCCCAAUGAUGGGAGAGGCACCCCUUGGAGAAAUCAAGAAAGACGCUGCAUUUUAGCUCAGCCCUAUGGAUCAGAAGGAUAAAGAGAGGUGAAAGAGUGUCCCAGGCAAGGGCAAAGGCAGGAGCUGAGGAAGGAUGGAUGGAGCAUGUUCUGAAAAAGGAAAGUGUCCCGGUAGGCUAGAAGAAAGUGAAAAUUAGACGAGGGAGUUUGAAGUGUAUUCAGCAGGCACCAGUGAGCAACAGAAGGUUUUGUGUUUCAGCAAUGAUGGGAGAUAAGUAGAGCUAUGCUUGAAAGCAAUGCUUUUCAGACUUUAAUGUGCAUUCAGAUCACCAAAAGAGUUUGUUAAAGUAUACAUUUAGAUUCGGUAGGUCUAGG